UACGAAGGGGCUAGCGUUGCUCGGAAUCACUGGGCGUAAAGGGUGCGUAGGCGGGCAGGUAAGUCCGUGGUGAAAUCUCUGAGCUUAACUCAGAAACUGCCAUGGAUACUUAUUUGUCUUGAAGUGUUGUGGAGGUAAGCGGAAUAUGUCAUGUAGCGGUGAAAUGCUUAGAUAUGACAUAGAACACCCAUUGCGAAGGCAGCUUACUACACAAAAUAUUGACGCUGAGGCACGAAAGCGUGGGGAUCAAACAGG
rnacentral:rRNA from 1 species